AGAUAACAUGAGAGAGAAAGCCAGAGAGAGGGAAGAAGGCAGGAGCAAGUGGGACUGCUGUUGCUGAUGUAUUAUUUAUAUAGCAGGAAAUUAGACUCUGAGGACUCAAGUAUUCUUCAAAUAAGCUUCCUAAUUCUGUCAAUUAAGAAUGCACAGGCUGCUGGGGCUCUAGCUUGGGAUGAGCCGCAGAGGAGUGAAAGCUGCCCCUGGUCAUUGCUCUGAUGUGCUGCUACAGAUAUUUUCAGCUGGAGGAAAAAUAUCUUAGUCCCAAAAUCAAACGUGUGAGAUGCUGGGAGGGUUAUAUAGAGCAGCUCUGGCUGAUUCCAGUGGGACAAACAACUUCCCUGUGCUCUGACAGGGGAAUUCUGAAA